GCGCAGGUGGUUCAGUGGUAGAAUGGCUGCCUCCCAGUUUGUGAGAGCUGUCGGCCCGGGUUCGAUUCCCGGCCUGCGCA